UACGGGGGGAGCAAGCGUUGUUCGGAUUUACUGGGCGUAAAGGGCGCGUAGGCGGCCACCGCAAGUCGACUGUGAAAUCUCCGGGCUUAACCUGGAAAGGUCAGCCGAUACUGCGGGGCUAGAGUGCAGAAGGGGCAACUGGAAUUCUCGGUGUAGCGGUGAAAUGCGUAGAUAUCGAGAGGAACACCUGCGGCGAAGGCGGGUUGCUGGGCUGACACUGACGCUGAUGCGCGAAAGCGUGGGGAGCGAGCCGG
rnacentral:rRNA from 1 species